ensembl:miRNA sha-mir-340 sha-mir-340
AUUCCCACCUCCAAUUAAAACACAUUGGCAUCAGUAUGAAGGAUGAGCAUAUACAAGGCAUGACUAUAAAGUAAUGAGACUGAUCCUGCACACAAACACCAGUCUCAUUACUUUAUAGUCACACCCUGUAUCUUAAAGAUCUCCAGUCAU